rnacentral:rRNA from 1 species
UAGGGGAGGUGGCGCCCGGUGGGUGGGUGGCGCCUGCCGCUAGAGAGUAGGUGUCGGCGUGGGUGGCGGCUGCGGCUGCGGGGGUAGGAGAGGGGGGAGGAAGAGAGGGACCGCCGCCGGUGUAGCCCCCGAGGACCUAGGCGCGGCGGCAGCUCGACCCGGCGGUUCCAGUCGAGGAAGGGGUGUUGGUGGCAGCGGCGUCCCUCCUCCACUAACUGCCCCGUCGGUGGUAGCUCGAGUGGGGCAGAUGAAGAAGAGCCCUGCGGCGCGAGGAAGAGGCGUUGGUGGCGGCGGCGGCGACGUCCCUCUGCUCCUAACUGCCCCAGCGGUGGUACGUUGGAGGGGGCGCAUGGAGAAGAGCCCUGAGGGGGAGGUACCUCGAGGCUGGGGUGGCGGCGGAGGUACCUACCUGGUAGAGUUCAAUAUGUACCUCUAGAUUCACGGAAAGUCCUCCUUUAUGUUAGUCAAGUGGUACAACAGGCGUGAGACCUUUGUUUCGAACCUGCGGAACGUAUAUGAGUUCUAGUGUGUUGUGCUCAUUAUGUACUCAAUACACUCAAGUCAUUUUCUAACCUAGCCUCAGGUUUCGGCUAUGAGAAUUCCAGUGUCGUAGUUGAGGAGAGGGACGUUAGCUCAGAAGUCUUCCUUAAUGGUCCUGGCGAAGAAACGGCAGUCCAAGCCUUGGGCACAGAGGACAUCGAGUUAGUGGAAUCUCGUCUAGGUGGAUUCCAACAGGCAAGCAGAUGUCGGUAUAGUCGUAGUCCUGACUCAUACGAUCGACCUUGAUGUAGUUAUGGAUUUUCCCAUUCUCGUAGAGAAACGUAAAACAAACAAUUAGAAGAAUACCAGACAACUGUGAAAGGUGAACUUCUUCUACCACGCUAGACGGAUUACUAACAACAUGUCCCACUAAACUGUGCGGCGGACUUUCAUGAUCAACACUUAUAACCUAUAGACAUCGUAAUGUAAAACUUGGAAUUAAAACCAGACGAUUGAGAUCGAACGAAAAGGUACAAGUAGUCUUACACCACUUAAAAACAUUAUUUUUUGUACAGCGAGGAACUCACUGUCGAAAAUACCCGACAUCUUUUCUUACUGAAAUUUCUUUUACAUGAAACACCUACAAGAUAUACAGUACCUUGAAACUGGGACGGUAAAAAAACUGUACCAUAGAACCUCACAGAUAAAACAUGUAUAUUAUAUAACAUGCUAAGAUAUCGACAAUAAUCAUUAAGACAAUAUCUCAUAGAACCACAUAAGCUGCCGCCAAAAACUUUAGGAUAACUCUUAUAAAAAGUUCCUUGAGCUCCGCUUACAGAACCAAAGCUUCUUCGUCUUUCACUUUGUAGACCUGCUCUUCUUUUUCUUCACGUUCCGACCAUUCCAGCUCUGAGUAGAACUUAAGGGACCUGCAUUUUUCCAAUUUAAACCACUUCAACAGCUUCGAGGUGGUUUCAAUAGUAAGGGUUUCUCCACUAGCUGCGACUGUUCGCACCGGGCCACCGCGACACGAGAAGUUGGUGAGUCUCCGCCUGAAGCGGCACUUCGGGCCACCGGUGCAGCGUGUCUACUAGCAGGUCCACUAAAGCUGCGGCCUUCAGCGACUACACCUCCUGGAGCUGCGGUGGCAGGCGCUCUCCCUCCUAAGCACAGGUCGCCGCAGACUUGAGGAUCGGAACAUCUAUGUAGAUCUCUCCACCAGACAAAUCCAACCACCGGUGAUCCCUUCCAUGGGUGGAAUUUUACUACCUGCAUAAUGGUAAGUAC